rnacentral:lncRNA from 1 species
CUCCCCAAGCCUUGCACCGGGAACCCCCUUCAGCCAGUUGGGCUCACACAUCGGCCAUGGUAGCAGUGUUGGGAAGCCCCCCAACACCUCCCACCCCCACCCAGGCCGCGCCAAGUCUAGGACAGACAGCAACACAGGAGCCACCGAGGACCAGGGCCACAGGCAAAAAGACAGCAGCACAAAGGUAAGUCUGCCUCUGCUACACAGCCUUACAUACACUCCCCUACAUACAGUAUUUAUUUGGAGAGUGAAGCUAAAACCUUUAAUUUGGCUCUAUACUCCAGCAUUCUGGAUUGGAGAUUCAUUGUUUUGUAUGAGGAGAAAGUACAGAAUGUCACUUUUUAUUUGAGCGUAUUUUCAUACAUAUCUAUUAUAUCGUUUAGAAAUGAAAGCACUUUAUGUAUCUAGUCCCCCCAUUUGAAGGUGUCUUUGGUUAAAUUAAUUUAUAGUGUAUUAAAGUAGUCAAACGUUUAGUAUUUGGUCCCAUAUUCCUAGCACACAAUGACUACAUCAAGCUUGUGACUCUACAAACUUGUUAGAUGCAUUUGCAGUUUGUUUUAGAUGCAUUUCGGGUUAUGUUGUGCUUAAUAUAAAUUAAUGGUAAAUAAGGUAUCGUCAUUUUGGAGUAACUUUUAUUUUAAAUAAGAAUAGAAUAUGUUUCUGAACACACACAAAGAUCAUGCCCCUCAAAGCAUGCUAACCUGUCACCAUUACCAAUAACAGGAGAGGUUAGCAUUUUAUAUCAUACCCCCAAGACAUGCUAACCUGUCACCAUUACCAAUAACAGGAGAGGUUAGCAUUUUGGGGGGUAUGAUCUUUGUUCCUCUAUAACUUUCUCACCCAGCAUUAUUCACAAUUCGUAUAAGUGAAUUUGUCCAAAUACUUAUGAAAAAUAACAUAUUCAAAUGGGGGACUACAUACAUAAAGUUAUUUCAUUUCUAAAACACAUACUGUAUGAAAAAAAACUCAAAUAAAAUGUGACAUUCUGUACUGUCACCUCAUAUAAAACAUUUGAUCUCAAAUCCAAAAUGGUGGAGUAUAGAGCCAAAUGUACAUAUUUUAGCUUCACUGUCCAAUUACAUACUUAGGGGAGUGUACAUCUUUAGAGACAGGGUUCACUCCCCCAAAGUGGAAAAUAUACCAGUCAACUGUGGACUGUGUGACAUAUUGUAUGGUCAAGUGAUACCCUGAUAGAUGCUCAUAGGUAGAAGUCUUGAUGUGGCGGACGGGCAGGCGAUCAACAGAGUACAAGAUUGAAGGUGACUGAUAGAGAGUUCUUUGUCACCUGUCAUCUUCUCCUGUCUGUGCUGGAGGCUGAGGGCUGGAUGACCUGGGGUCAGGGUGUGUUUGUCUGCCAGGCGCGUCUGUGGCAGCACCACGGUGACAUGUCUGUUGUGUCAUGAUGACAGACAGCAGGCUAAACUGGCACUGAGCUGAUGAACAGCCAGGAGAUGAGAUGAUGGUUCUCACUGGGACACAGAAUCAGUGUCACUCCAGUGUUACUCUUGGUACUGGUUGGUUUCAACCUUAAGGCUGCUGCCGUUGUCAGCAAGAUGAUGGUUUAUUGAGUUAGUGCGGGCGGGAGUGCAUUAGGCUUCUUCAGUGAAUACUUUACCUUGUGUUAGGUGACACAACAACUCAUCUGAAUGUGGUGUGGCCAGACGAGCACCACUAGCAAUGAUCUAAUUUCUAUAUUCUUGUGGUUUUAUAUAACAAUCAUUGUCAGGGUGGAGGUAUAACUGAAGUUGUAAUCAUUGUCAGGGUGGAGGUAUAACCGAAGUUGUAAUCAUUGUCAGGGUGGAGGUAUAACUGAAGUUGUAAUCCUGUCAGGGUGGAGGUAUAACUGAAGUUGUAAUCCUGUCAGGGUGGAGGUAUAACUGAAGUUGAAAUCAUUGUCAGGGUGGAGGUAUAACUGAAGUUGAAAUCAUUGUCAGGCUAGACAAGCAGCAUUUACAGUCUCUGUUGUCCUUUUACUUUGGUCAUGGAAACAAUGUGGUCACUUUUCACCUCUGCUAUUUCAAUAUGUGUGUGUUUACAUUAAGGAAAGUGAAAGAGGUCAAGGUUGAGGGCUGAUUAAUCUAAUAAAUUAAUCUAAUAAAUAAAUCUAAUAAAGUACUAUCACCUGACACAUAAUGGAGUGAACAAUGGCAGACACUUUCUACUGGUGGGAAUGUUCUAUUACUCUGUUCCUUCACAACAAGUGGCUAGCAAUACAGCCUGAAUCUAAUCACCAUGGAAACUAAAAAGAAUGUGUCGUCUGCUUUAUAUUACCUCAACAUGCUUAGCAAUUCUAUUAACUGUCUAAAUUUAGUUCAAGAUGUAUCUGUUGUUUUCCUCUUUUGCUCCUUUAACUUUGAUACAGGCCUGGUGUUUAGCUGUUUCCUGUAAAUCAGUGGUGUGAUCCUGAUUAAUGCAGCACUUCAUCGUGUCGGUUAGGUGGUUGAUAUUAGGCAGCUACACAACAGAACGACAGAUGCAUCCAUACACUGCUUCGGUGUCAUAAGCAGACGGUUCUAUAAACAAGGAUGAUAUUCAUUAACAUUGUGACAGUCUACAAAAUGUGUACACAAAUAAAUGCAACGCUGUAGCGUCUUCUGACAUGAAGUUAUCUUUCAUCAGGGUAUGAAAAGGGAAAUGUGAACACAACUCCACCCCCCUUAACUUAUUUAUACAAUCAGUCAUUUCUGGUAGAAUUGUCUUUGGAAAAACAAUGGUAUUUUCCACCAUAUCUGUGUGUUAAUGCAGAAUGUCAUAUCAGUGUAUGGAUGGAUGGUAUAGAUAGAUAGAUUAAAAUGAGGGGAGGGAGGGAGAGGAAACUGUCUGGAAGCCAUCAAACCACAGAGCCUUUUCACAUGACCCCGUAAUGGCCCUGGCUCUCUGGCCUGUCCUCUGUUUCACUCUCCUCCUCCCCAGGGGACCCCCGUUCCCAGGGUCCCUCUCACAUGUACACCAGGGUGGGUUAGGGGUGGGAAGGGAAACAGGGGGUUAAGUCCUCAGAGACUGACCAAGACCUCUUUUCAGAUGCUCAAAGGAGGACAGACAGAAAGCCCUGGCCUGAUCAUACACACACCUAAAUACUGUAUACUCUCAGGAACACACACACACAAUACCACAGAGGUUGUUUGGUUCUUUUCUAUACUGUCUAUAUGGGUGGGUCAGGUUAGCUCCAUACUUUGUCUCACCAUCCUUUGGAUGCUAUAGCAGCUCAAGCUAUUUUUCUGUAGCUACAGCCUCACAUUCCAGAUUCCAUCUCUCUCUCUCUCUCUCAGCAUUCUGGGAAUGCUUCCGUUGUUUUAUAACUUCCUCUCUGGGUUGUAAAAUGCUUUUCCUGCUGGGCUUAUAUGACUCCUCAAAAAAGAUGCUAGAUUGUGUCUUUUUGAAAUCUCUGAUUUAUCUAGUCAAUUUCAUGCCCACUGUUCUUUGCCUCUGACAUGUUGCUAAUUCCUUCUCUUAUUUCAUUGUGUGCAUGUUUGAUGCACAUUCACAACCUUUGACACCUGGCUGAAGAAAUUGCCCAAUUAUUGCUGAAUUGUAUUUAUCCAUGAGCCGUAUGAGCGUAAGAAGGAACUUCACCGCCUGUGUAAGAAAGGCAGUCGUAAAUCAGUAUGUUUAUUAUUCGUCUGUAGUGUUUUUAAGUCCAUUAUCGUUAUAUUAUUUUUAAAUAAAAAUAAAUGAACUAGGCAAGUCAGUUUAGAACAAAUUCUUAUUUACAAUGACGGCCUACCCCGGCCAAACCCUAACCCGGACGACACUGGGCCAAUUGUGCGCCGCCCUAUGGGAAUCCCA